UACGGGGGGGGCAAGCGUUGUUCGGAAUUACUGGGCGUAAAGGGCUCGUAGGCGGCCAACUAAGUCGGAUGUGAAAUCCCCAGGCUUAACCUGGGAACUGCAUCCGAUACUGGAUGGCUUGAAUCCGGGAGAGGGAUGCGGAAUUCCAGGUGUAGCGGUGAAAUGCGUAGAUAUCUGGGGGAACACCGGUGGCGAAGGCGGCAUCCUGGACCGGCAUUGACGCUGAGGAGCGAAAGCGUGGGGAGCGAACAGG
rnacentral:rRNA from 1 species